rnacentral:miRNA from 1 species
UUGAGGAGUUAAUUUGCGUGUUU